GCCCUUCCUACGGGAGGCAGCAGUGGGGAAUCUUCCGCAAUGGACGAAAGUCUGACGGAGCAACGCCGCGUGAGUGACGAAGGCCUUCGGGUUGUAAAGCUCUGUCUUCAGGGACGAACGUGUUUAGUGUAAAUAAUGCUAGAUAAUGACGGUACCUGAGGAGGAAGCCACGGCUAACUACGUGCCAGCAGCCGCGGUAAU
rnacentral:rRNA from 1 species